AUUUGGUGUUGGGGGCACUUGAUGCACAGCUUCUUGAAUCUCUCUCAAUACUCAUAGAGGGACUCGCCUGGAUUUUGCUUGAUACCGUAGAUCUCCUUUCUUAGACU